AUCGGUUGUCUGCCGAUGACCUUGGCCAAGUCACUUCGCCCCUCCGGACCUCGGCCCCCUCAUCGGUGAAAAUGCGGAUUGAGGCGGUCGCUCCCCUGUGGGGCACGGACCGUACAGAAGAGGACUGAUCUACCUUCAGUGAAUGCCUCUGAGAAGCUGAGAAGCUACCCAGAGGUCUGGCUAAGAAGAUGCUAAAUGCAGCAAGGGAAAAUGGAAA